rnacentral:lncRNA from 1 species
GUUGGACCUAAAUGUCCUAAUCCUUGUUUUGAUGAUUAAUAAACAAUUGGUGUGCUACUAAUUAUCUUCAAAGGUGUUUGUAUUGAGCUUGCAGGUUCCCUAUUGAAAUAAAUGAAAUUGCUUCAAUCACAAAAGUGAAAAGUGCCAAUUAUGGAAGCAUACCACAAGAAAGGGAUAAGAAAUUAUUUGUGUUUAUGCCUUGUUAAAUUCUAUUCAUUGUAAAUUUCAAGUAAUUGAUUGUGAUGGCUCAAGGGCUCUUUCAUUUCUAAAAGUUCUUUUAGAUAUGGCCACUUUUUAAAAGUACUUGACUUUCAGGGACCAAAAUGAAAUUUUCCAAAAGAAGUGAUUUUGAAAUUAUUUUUCAUCAAAAUGAANN